GCAGUGGGGAAUCUUGCACAAUGGGGGCAACCCUGAUGCAGCGACGCCGCGUGAGCGAUGAAGCCCUUCGGGGUGUAAAGCUCUUUCGUCAGGGAAGAUUAUGACGGUACCUGGAGAAGCAGCUGCGGCUAACUACGUGCCAGCAGCCGCGGUAAUACGUAGGCAGCGAGCGUUGUUCGGAGUUACUGGGCGUAAAGGGUGUGUAGGCGGUUGUUUAAGUUUGGUGUGAAAUCUCCCGGCUCAACUGGGAGGGUGCGCCGAAUACUGAAUGACUCGAGUGCGGGAGAGGAGAGUGGAAUUCCUGGUGUAGCGGUGAAAUGCGUAGAUAUCAGGAGGAACACCGGUGGUGUAGACGGCUUUCUGGACCGUAACUGACGCUGAGACACGAAAGCGUGGGUAGCAAACAGGAUUAGAUACCCU
rnacentral:rRNA from 1 species